UGUAGGCUGAUGUGCUGCCUUAUAAAGCAAUGUUUUCGGGGGAAAGUAAAACAAUUUCAUCAACCCAUUUCCUGAAAGUUUGUAAACUUGUUUCCCCCUCACUCUGAUCAAGUUCUCUGUCAGAUAUAGUAGCAACUUACUUCUCUGAGGUGCUUCUUGUAAAAUAUAGCAGCUUUACUAUUGCUGUGAAAAACAUGGCUGAGGAAAAUCCUGCGGAUGGAAAUGUAAUCAAGGAGCAGGGAACGGCAGCAUCAAACGGCCACUCAGCAGUAGUGGAGGACUCUCAAAACAACCCACAAGAUACAAGCAAGAGCAAGGAGGAUGGCACCAAAACAGUACCAUAUCACAAGCUUUUCUCCUUUGCUGAUUCCUUGGAUUACCUGUUAAUGUCUGUUGGUACAAUCAGCGCUAUUGGAAAUGGGUUCUGUAUGCCUCUAAUGACCAUAAUCUUUGGAGAUGUGAUUAACUCCUUUGGAGAAAGUGGGAAUAAUAAAGACGUGGUUGAUGCAGUUUCCAAGGUGGCUCUAAAGUUUGUCUACUUGGCAGUGGGAGCUGCUGCAGCUGCAUUUCUACAGAUGUCUUGCUGGAUGGUCACGGGAGAGAGACAGGCUGCUCGAAUAAGAAGUUUAUACUUGAAAACAAUACUGAGGCAAGAUGUUGGCUUUUUUGAUAAAGAAAUUAACACUGGGGAAAUUGUUGGGAGGAUGUCAGGUGAUACUGUGCUGAUUCAAGAGGCCAUGGGCGAGAAGGUAGGAACUUUUGUCCAGUUAAUUGCAACAUUCGUAGGAGGCUUUGUUAUAGCAUUUGUUAAGGGAUGGCUUCUCACCCUUGUCAUGCUAUCUUCUAUCCCCCUUCUUGUCCUCUCUGGUGCCGUCAUGGCCAUCCUUAUAUCAAAGAUGGCAUCCAGUGGACAAACUGCUUAUUCAGUGGCAGCAACUGUGGUAGAGCAGACAAUUGGUUCAAUCAGAACAGUUGCAUCGUUUACAGGAGAAAAGCAAGCUAUAACUAAUUACAACAACUCCUUAAUUAAAGCUUACAACUCUGGUGUGCAAGAGGGUUUGGCAUCUGGGUUCGGAAUUGGUUCGGCUAUGCUGAUUAUAAUGUGGAGUUAUGCUCUGGCUAUAUGGUUUGGAGGAAAGAUGAUACUUGAAAAAGGAUAUACAGGAGGGGAAGUCAUUAAUAUAGUUUUCGCUGUAUUGACUGGCUCCAUGUCUCUUGGGCAGGCAUCUCCAUGCUUGAGUGCAUUUGCUGCUGGACAAGCUGCAGCUUAUAAGAUGUUUGAGACAAUUGACAGAAAGCCAGAGAUUGAUGCUUCUGACACUAACGGGCAACAAUUACAUGAUAUCCGUGGCGACAUAGAUAUUUUAGUUAUCCUGCAAGACCGGAUGAACAAAUAUUCGAUGGAUUUUCUCUCUCAAUACCUAGUGGUGCAACUGCUGCUUUGGUUGGAGAGAGUGGAAGUGGUAAAUCAACUGUAAUCAGUUUGAUUGAGAGAUUUUAUGACCCCCUAGCUGGCGAAGUUCUUAUUGAUGGUAUUAAUCUCAAAGAGUUCCAACUGAAAUGGAUCAGACAGAAAAUAGGCCUUGUCAGCCAGGAACCCGUUUUAUUUACUUGUAGCAUUAAAGAUAAUAUUGCCUAUGGGAAGGAUGGUGCAACCACUGAAGAAAUAAGGGCUGCUGCUGAGCUUGCCAAUGCUGCUAAAUUCAUAGACAAACUGCCUCAGGGACUGGACACAAUGGUUGGUGAGCAUGGAACUCAGCUAUCUGGGGGCCAAAAGCAGAGAAUUGCAAUAGCUAGAGCAAUUCUCAAAGACCCAAGGAUUUUACUUUUAGAUGAAGCCACAAGUGCUCUUGAUGCAGAAUCUGAGAGAAUUGUGCAGGACGCACUGGACAGAAUUAUGAUCAACCGGACUACUGUCGUUGUAGCCCACCGCUUGAGCACAGUAAGGAAUGCUGACACCAUUGCUGUUAUACAUCGAGGAACAAUUGUUGAAAAAGGUCCACAUUCUGAGCUAAUUAAGGACCCUGGAGGAGCAUAUAGCCAGCUUAUAAGGUUGCAAGAAAUGAGCAGCGUGUCAGAACAGACUUCUGUAAAUGAUCACGAAAGGCUUAGCAGCGUGGAUUCUCGAAGACAUUCAAGUAAAAGAUUUUCAAACUUGCGAUCCAUAAGCCGGGGAUCAUCUGGAAGAGGAAAUAGUUACCGUCAUUCCUUCUCAAUCUCAUACGGUGUGCCCACUGCAGUCAGUUCUCUUGAAACAGCAUCUGCAGGACAUGAUAUUCCUGCUUCAGCAUCAUCAAGAGUGCCUCCAGAAGUCUCACUUUGCCGCCUGGCUUACCUGAACAAGCCAGAGAUCCCAGUAUUAUUACUAGGUACUUUAGCUGCAGCAGUCAAUGGGGCAAUCUUACCUAUUUUUGCGAUAUUGCUAUCCAGUGUAAUCAAGACCUACUACGAGCCACCUCCUCAACUCCGUAAGGAUUCGAAGUUUUGGGCAUUAAUCUUCAUUGUUCUUGGAGUGGUAACUUUCAUAGCAAUGCCAGCAAGACAAUACUUUUUUGCGGUGGCAGGGUGUAAGUUAAUAAAACGAGUUCGAUCAAUGUGCUAUGAGAAGGUGGUUUACAUGGAAGUAAGUUGGUUUGACGAUCCUGAGCACUCAAGUGGUGCAAUUGGUGCGAGGCUUUCCGCAGAUGCAGCUUCUCUGCGUGGGCUGGUUGGAGAUGCUCUAGGGUUGCUGGUUGAGAAUUCAGCAACUGCAAUUGCUGGUUUGUGUAUUGCUUUUGUGGCAAAUUGGCAACUUUCUCUUAUAAUCCUGGUUUUGCUGCCUCUAUUAGGAUUAGCUGGUUAUGUUCAAGUCAAGUUCUUGAAAGGAUUCAGUGCAGAUGCAAAGAAAAUGUACGAGGACGCAAGUCAAGUAGCCAAUGAUGCAGUUGGGAGUAUUCGAACAAUUGCUUCCUUUUGUGCUGAAGAGAAGGUGAUUGGAUUGUACCAGAAGAAAUGUGAAGGCCCUAUUAAGACAGGGAUAAGACGAGGGUUAAUCAGCGGGAUAGGUUUUGGGCUAUCGUUCUUUUUUCUUUUUUCUGUGUAUGCCUGCAGUUUUUAUGCUGGAGCCCGACUUGUUGCAGCAGGCAAGACAACAUUCUCUGAUGUUUUCCGGGUUUUCUCUGCUCUCGUGAUGACAGCUGUUGGAGUGUCUCAGUCAGGUUCCCUAGCCCCUAAUCUUGGUAAAGUAAAGAGCUCUGCUGCUUCCAUAUUUGCCAUUCUUGACCGGAAAUCAAAAAUAGACUCUAGUGAUGAAUCUGGAACAACUAUAGAAAAUGUGAAGGGAGAAAUUGAACUUCGCCAUGUCAGUUUCAAGUAUCCAACUAGACCUGAUGUACCAAUCUUCCAGGAUCUUUGCUUGACCAUUCAUCAUGGCAAGACAGUUGCUUUGGUUGGAGAAAGUGGAAGUGGGAAAUCGACAGUCGUCUCAUUGUUGCAGAGAUUUUACGACCCUGAUUCAGGUCACAUUACAUUAGAUGGAUUUGAAAUCCAAAAGCUACAGCUCAAGUGGUUGAGACAGCAAAUGGGACUGGUGAGCCCGGAGCCUGUAUUGUUUAAUGACACUAUCAGAGCCAACAUUGCAUAUGGAAAGGAAGGGAAUGCACCAGAGGCUGAAAUUAUAGCUGCUGCAGAAUUGGCAAAUGCACACAAGUUCAUCAGUAGUUUACAACAGGGUUAUGAUACAAUAGUAGGAGAGCGGGGGAUUCAAUUGUCUGGUGGACAGAAGCAAAGGGUGGCAAUUGCACGAGCUAUAAUGAAGGCACCAAAGAUACUACUCCUAGAUGAAGCCACAAGUGCUCUUGAUGCUGAAUCGGAACGAGUGGUUCAAGAUGCAUUGGAGCGAAUCAUGGUGGAUCGAACCACAAUCGUUGUUGCCCAUCGGUUAUCCACAAUAAAGGGUGCGGAUGUAAUCGCUGUGGUGAAAAAUGGAGUCAUUGCAGAGAAAGGAAAGCAUGAAACUUUAAUCGGUAUCAAGGAUGGCAUUUAUGCUUCUUUGGUAGCAUUGCAUGCAAGCGCCUCAUCUUAGAUAGCUUUUAUAUUCGUUUUUAUCCAAAGAAAAAUAAAGUACAUAAUGUAAUUUUAUUCAGAGAGGUAAAUUACCAUAUAGGAAUAGAUCAUUUUUGUAUUAUCCUUCGUUCUUGUAAGCUCUAAAAUUUGAUUCGGUUA